UACGUAGGGUGCAAGCGUUGUCCGGAAUUAUUGGGCGUAAAGAGCUCGUAGGCGGUUUGUCGCGUCUGCUGUGAAAACUCGGGGCUUAACCCCGGGCCUGCAGUGGGUACGGGCAGACUAGAGUGCGGUAGGGGAGACUGGAAUUCCUGGUGUAGCGGUGAAAUGCGCAGAUAUCAGGAGGAACACCGGUGGCGAAGGCGGGUCUCUGGGCAGUAACUGACGCUGAGGAGCGAAAGCGUGGGUAGCAAACAGG
rnacentral:rRNA from 1 species